GGGAGGUAGUGACAAUAAAUAACAAUACGGGGUUCUUUCGGAUCUCGUAAUUGGAAUGAGUACAAUUUAAAUCUCUUAACGAGGAACAAUUGGAGGGCAAGUCUGGUGCCAGCAGCCGCGGUAAUUCCAGCUCCAAUAGCGUAUAUUAAAGUUGUUGCAGUUAAAAAGCUCGUAGUUGAAUUUCGGGGUCAGCAAGUUGGUCGUGCCACCGGUAUGCACUGGCUUUACUGAUUCCUCCUUCUUGACGAACCGUGAUGUCAUUAAUUUGGUGUUGCGGGAAAUCAGGACUGUUACUUUGAAAAAUCAGAGUGUUUAAAGCAGGCUAACGCUUGAAUACAUUAGCAUGGAAUAAUGAAAUAGGACGUUAAUCCUAUUUUGUUGGUUUCUAGGAUCGACGUAAUGAUUAAUAGGGAUAGUUGGG
rnacentral:rRNA from 1 species